UGCUAUAGUUACAUGUACGUUCUUGAUUGCGGACUAACAAAUGGCAAAGAGGUUACGUUAUCGUGCAAAAUCUAGAUGAAACUGCAGCUUGCAUCGCACACUGAACAAUUGACACUUUAUUACCCACGAAAAAUUCGACAAUCCGAUCCCGAUCCUAGCAAAGUAGAUGAAGCAAAUAAACCCAUAAUCUUGUAAAAAAUUGAAUCUAAAAAAAUGAAAGCGGCGGCUGCGUCGUCGGAGCCACGGCCUCGUCGGCACGCGCAGGGUAGCCGCUGAAAUCGGGGUGGACCGCCGGCGGCACGUACGCGUUGGGCGCGAGGGCCACUGCCGGGUACACGUACGGCGGCAGAGGCGGCGACACCGGGUACAAGCUGGCGUUCAAGGCAGGUGGCGGCGCCAGCUGGUACACCGCCGUCUUGUAUCCCGGCACGUAUGGGUAGUUGCCGCCGCCGUAGCCGCCAUAGCCGUAGCCGGAUGAUCCUGUGGUAGCUGGACCGUACGCGUCAGGGAAGCCGCCGUAGUCGUAGCCGGAUGAUCUUGUAGCGGGGCCGCCGUACGCGCCAGGGAAGCCGCCGUAGCCGUACCGGCGGUCGUAGUCGUAGCCGGAGCCGAGGCCGAGAGAAGAAGCCGUCGGGCCCGAGCCGCCGGCGCCGGCGUACCCGCGGUAGUACGGGUACGUGUCGUCGUCGUUGCUGCUGUUAUAGCGGUCGUAGUAGGGGUUCUCCACGACGACAUCGUCCCCGCCGCCUGUAUUAGCACUAGCAGAUGCGGCGGCGGCGUCGACCUUGGCGAAGUAGUCGUUGUCCGCCUUGAGCUGGUCGUAUACGGCGGCGUCGAUCUUGGCUUGGGCGCGCUGGGAAGCCGCGGUGUAGGUCCGGAGCGCCUCCCGGCAAGCCUCGGUGUAGGUCCGGAGCGCCGCCCGGCAAGCCUCGGUGUAGGUCCGGAGCGCCUCCUCCUUGUCGUGCCUGCCGCCGUCCCUCUCUUCGUCGGCGCGACGCGACGCCGCGAUCCAGGCCAGGUGCGCCUUGUCGAAGGAUUCCACUUGUUCCGGGGUGGACCUGGACCAGGGCGGGCACUCUUCCUCCAACUCCCGGAGCUGCUUCUUGAACUCUACUUCGUCUUCCUGCGCUGCUGCUGCUUUGUCGUCGUCGUUGCCGUUGCCGUUGCUCUUGUUCUCCUCUCCUGCAGUAUUGGCGGUGGCGGUGGCGGCGACGGCCUGCUGCUGCGCCUCGGCAUCCUCCAUCGCGUCAUGCUGUGAGAGCAGGUAAAUCCAGUCCUCGCCGCCGUCGCUGAUGCCGCACAUGUUAUCUUGUACUUUUUUAGAAGACGACAUGAUCGCUUCUUUUCUACUUGUCGGUCUUCUAGCUUCUUCUCCACAAAUCGAUGAUGAUGAUGAUUGAAUUGGCUAUUGCGGCGGAUUGGAUCUCGAUGUCGUUCGCUCCUUGUUAUCGAUCACGGACGUCGUCAGAUUGCCCCGGGUAUCU
rnacentral:lncRNA from 1 species